rnacentral:rRNA from 1 species
UACGUAGGGUGCAAGCGUUAAUCGGAAUUACUGGGCGUAAAGCGUGCGCAGGCGGUUAUGUAAGACAGUUGUGAAAUCCCCGGGCUCAACCUGGGAACUGCAUCUGUGACUGCAUAGCUAGAGUACGGUAGAGGGGGGAUGGAAUUCCGCGUGUAGCAGUGAAAUGCGUAGAUAUGCGGAGGAACACCGAUGGCGAAAGGCAAUCCCCCUGGACCUGUACUGA